ACAGGGGGAUUCCCCCUAGUAACGGCGAGUGAAGUGGGAAAAGCUCAACUUUGUAAUCUGGCAGCUUCGCUGUCCGAGUUGUAGUCUCGAGAAAUGUUUUCCGCGCUGGCAUGUGUAUGAGUCUGUUGGAAUACAGCGUCAUAGAGGGUGAGAACCCCGUUCAUGACACAUCUCCCAGUGCUUUGUGAUACAUUUUCGAUGAGUCGAGUUGUUUGGGAAUGCAGCUCAAAAUGGGUGGUAAAUUCCAUCUAAAGCUAAAUAUUGGCGAGAGACCGAUAGCAAACAAGUACCGUGAGGGAAAGAUGAAAAGCACUUUGGAAAGAGAGUUAAAAGUACGUGAAAUUGUUGAAAGGGAAACGCUUGAAGUCAGACGUGCGCAGUGCGAUUCAGCUCUAUUUCGGUAGAGUGUAUUUCGUGCUAUUGCAGGCCAGCAUCGGUUUUGCGAGCCGGAUAAAGGUUAGUAGAAGGUAGCAUCUUCGGAUGUGUUAUAGCUUCUAACUGAAUACGGAUUGCGAGACCGAGGGACGCAGCACGGCGCAAGCCAGAAGAUUCGUCUUCUUCGUGCUUAGGAUGCUGGUGAAAUGGCUUUAAACGACCCGUCUUGAACCACGGACCA
rnacentral:rRNA from 1 species